rnacentral:rRNA from 1 species
AUUGAACGCUGGCGGCAGGCCUAACACAUGCAAGUCGAGCGGAGCGGCGGACGGGUGAGUAAUGCCUAGGAAUCUGCCUGGUAGUGGGGGAUAACGUACGAAAACGGGCGCUAAUACCGCAUACUAUCAGAUGAGCCUAGGUCGGUUUAGCUAGUAGGUGGGGUAAAGGCCUACCAAGGCGACGAGCCGUACCUGGUCUGAGAGGAUGCUCGGUCACACUGGAACUGAGACACGGUCCAGACUCCUACGGGAGGCAGCAGUGGGGAAGAUUGGACAAUGGGCGAAAGCCUGAUGCAGCCAUGCCGCGUGUGUGAAGAAGGUCUUCGGAUUGUAAAGCACUUGAAGUUGGGAGGCGUUACCAACAGAAUAAGCACCGGCUAACUACGUGCCAGCAGCCGCGGUAAUAC